rnacentral:rRNA from 1 species
GCGGCGUGCCUAAUACAUGCAAGUCGAGCGAACAGAGAAGGAGCUUGCUCCUUUGACGUUAGCGGCGGACGGGUGAGUAACACGUGGGCAACCUACCUUAUAGUUUGGGAUAACUCCGGGAAACCGGGGCUAAUACCGAAUAAUCUAUUUCACUUCAUGGUGAAAUACUGAAAGACGGUCUCGGCUGUCGCUAUAAGAUGGGCCCGCGGCGCAUUAGCUAGUUGGUGAGGUAACGGCUCACCAAGGCGACGAUGCGUAGCCGACCUGAGAGGGUGAUCGGCCACACUGGGACUGANACACGGCCCAGACUCCUACGGGAGGCAGCAGUAGGGAAUCUUCCACAAUGGGCGAAAGCCUGAUGGAGCAACGCCGCGUGAGUGAANAAGGUUUUCGGAUCGUAAAACUCUGUUGUAAGGGAAGAACAAGUACAGUANUAACUGGCUGUACCUUGACGGUACCUUAUUANAAAGCCACGGCUAACUAC